UGCAGAGAUCACACCACGUUUCAUAACACCACACAUCAGAUGUGCUAAAUGCUUCACAGUAUAAAUGGAGAUGUACAGUACCUUGUACAGAGAGGAGAAGCACAACAAAUCCACUCGCUGUUGUUAAACUCAUAGCUGCUCCUUACGUCUGUUAAGUCACAUCAGCAGGUAGAUCAGAUACAUGAGAAAUCCUGUAUGUCAGUAAGUCACUGUAAACAUUCCUAAUGAAAAGGGGAGGAUGUGGUCUUUGACCAGUUUGUCUCUUUGGGUUUGUUGAAAAGACACUGAUGUGUUAAAAGCUGCCCUCUUUACAUUAUGCACAUUAUGCUUCCUUCCCCUUUACAUUAUGCACAGAUGAAUGUCUGUUAAACUCAAGUGUCCAAGUUAAAAUGAAUCUUUAUUAUUCUUACUCUUGUUUUGCAUGAUGCAUAAACAGCGAUGUUUUAUGAGUGAGUCCCAGUUGUGUUUGUCUCUUGCAGGAGGAGGACAAACAUUCACCCAUCAUCACAGGACUAAAGCAUUACACAUUCCUGCUGAUGGUUACACACAUUUCCACUGAUCGACAGUUGUUGGCAGCAACUUGCAAAGAAAGAGAGCGAUGUGCAAACAUGCAGGACUGAAAAUAUUCAAAGGAUUCUGCCAUGGAUGACUUUGUUCAGGACCAAAUUUUGAUUCAACAUCUUCUUCAUGACUCUUGUACGUGCAAGAAAUGUCCACUAGUGAGCCUUUGGAGACACAUAUGCCUCUGUUAGCGUGCAGUGUAUAUACAGCGGACAGAAUAACAGCACAGCACCUGUUCUGCAUUCCCUCAUCACCGCUCACUACUUAACCUUGGCCAGCUCUCCAGUCCUUUUCGGAUUGUUGUUUAACCUGAGAAAUUCGCCCUGUUCCCCCUGGAUUACCUGUCCUCCCCGCCAGCCUGCACAGUCGUCAGGAGUAAUCCCCACC